GUUGACCUCGGAUCAGGUAGGGAUACCCGCUGAACUUAAGCAUAUCAAUAAUCGGAGGAAAAG
rnacentral:rRNA from 1 species